UUUUCAGUGGUCUUGAACGCACCGCAGUUAAGUGUGGUGUGACGCAGCAGUUUGACGCAAGUGUGUAAACUUCGCCACAGAAAUGUAUGUUUUUACCACUCUUUCCCCCUUCAUGAGCUGCGUAAAUGCGCAAAGCAGAAACGGGCUCACUCUUCCUGGAACGAACCGUCACGGUGGCCGUCUUGGAAAGGUAUCCUCUGCGUUUGAGCGUCACCUCCAGGAAUUUGGCAUCCUCGUCCACAAGGUAGUACUCCCUCUCCAGUGAGAUCCAGGCCCAGUUGAGGCGGAAUGGCUGAGGUUUGAGUUUGUUUCCACCUGAAGGAAGGACGCAAGAAAGGACAGCUUCAUUAGAUGCUUUGCACGAGUGAACACACUGCAGGACUGCUUGAAUUGAAGAUUUCAGACGCAAGG